UGGGGAAUUUUGGACUAUGGGCGCAAGCCUGAUCCAGCCAUGCCGCGUGUCUGAAGAAGGCCUUCGGGUUGUAAAGGACUUUUGUCAGGGAAGAAAAGGAUAGGGUUAAUACCCCUGUCUGAUGACGGUACCUGAAGAAUAAGCACCGGCUAACUACGUGCCAGCAGCCGCGGUAAUACGUAGGGUGCGAGCGUUAAUCGGAAUUACUGGGCGUAAAGCGGGCGCAGACGGUUACUUAAGCAGGAUGUGAAAUCCCCGGGCUCAACCUGGGAACUGCGUUCUGAACUGGGUGACUAGAGUGUGUCAGAGGGAGGUAGAAUUCCACGUGUAGCAGUGAAAUGCGUAGAGAUGUGGAGGAAUACCGAUGGCGAAGGCAGCCUCCUGGGAUAACACUGACGUUCAUGCCCGAAAGCGUGGGUAGCAAACAGGAUUAGAUACCCUGGUAGUCCACGCCCUAAACGAUGUCGAUUAGCUGUUGGGCAGCUUGACUGCUUAAUAGCGAAGCUAACGCGUGAAAUCGACCGCCUGGGGAGUACGGUUCGCAAGAUUAAA
rnacentral:rRNA from 1 species